AGCUUUGCGCAGUAGCAGUAUUGUAGGCAAUGAGGUUUAUCCGAGGAGCGAUUAUUGCUAAUUGAAAGUUUGGUAGAAUUCCCCAGGGAUUCCAUCAGGUCCUGGGCUCUUGUUUUUUGGGAGGUUUUUGAUCAC